rnacentral:rRNA from 1 species
AAUCUACCUUGUCGUGGGGGAUAACGUAGGGAAACUUACGCUAAUACCGCAUACGAACCAUGGUUGAAAGCGGCGGACCGCAAGGCGUCGCGCGAUUGGAUGAGCCGAUGUCCGAUUAGCUAGUUGGCGGGGUAAAGGCCCACCAAGGCGACGAUCGGUAGCUGGUCUGAGAGGAUGAUCAGCCACACUGGAACUGAGACACGGUCCAGACUCCUACGGGAGGCAGCAGUGGGGAAUAUUGGACAAUGGGGGCAACCCUGAUCCAGCCAUGCCGCGUGUGU